AGCGAACGCUGGCGGCAGGCCUAACACAUGCAAGUCGAACGAACUCUUCGGAGUUAGUGGCGGACGGGUGAGUAACACGUGGGAACGUGCCUUUAGGUUCGGAAUAACUCAGGGAAACUUGUGCUAAUACCGAAUGUGCCCUUCGGGGGAAAGAUUUAUCGCCUUUAGAGCGGCCCGCGUCUGAUUAGCUAGUUGUUGAGGUAAAGGCUCACCAAGGCGACGAUCAGUAGCUGGUCUGAGAGGAUGAUCAGCCACAUUGGGACUGAGACACGGCCCAAACUCCUACGGGAGGCAGCAGUAGGGAAUCUUGCGCAAUGGGCGAAAGCCUGACGCAGCCAUGCCGCGUGAAUGAUGAAGGUCUUAGGAUUGUAAAAUUCUUUCACCGGGGACGAUAAUGACGGUACCCGGAGAAGAAGCCCCGGCUAACUUCGUG
rnacentral:rRNA from 1 species